rnacentral:lncRNA from 1 species
UGCAACAUGAGCUGCUGGAUUUGCUAAUGAUCACUCUAAAUAGUGUUUCUUGUAAGCAUUGGCAAUGAACAUGAGAACUCGCUUUAUUCAUUUUCUCUGAUUACAAAGAAGAUGAAAUUUCACGUAAGUGCACUGUAAGAAGCUGCCCAUGUUUCUCCUGUAUUCAGAUAGUUUCCACAAUUCCAUUCUCAUUCUUAGGGAAUCAGUUCUUCCCUUGGUAGAUGAAGGUAGUUUCUGUUUAGCGGAGGACUUGGCCCAUCUUUCCUUAAGGGAUGACAAUCUUUGUACCAUUGCCACAAGUGAAGGCUUCUAGGACAUCUCCAUGGAUGGAAUAAGCCAUUGCAGAAGGAAGGACACCUCCUCAGAGAAUGGCCUUUGAGGAAGAUCCAUGGGAAAGAGGGAAAAGCUAGCACUUGUUUGCUGAACUGUGGAAGAACUGCAAGGUCACGCACAUUAUUCAUGAUAAAGCAACUGAGCUGACAAGUCUGUGCUUAAUUCAAGAAUAACCAGUAGGAGAGAGAGAAAACACAAGGAGUUAACCACCAUCGCCGGUGCUCUCUCAAAGGAAGAGGGGUUAACAGAUGAAUUCGCAAAGACAGCUCUUCUGGCCAAGAAUAUGGAUCAUUUGCAGCACAGAGGCAAGUUGAUAUAUGUAGCAUCAUGACAGUGAAGCAAAUUCCACAAAAACUGCUAAUGGACGGAGAAAUUUCAUGGAGAAAAGCUAGCAGACAGAGCUGGAAUAAAACAAUGGCAGUGUUCCUUGCUCAAAGAAGCAGUCCCGGGCUGUUCUUUGCCCAGGGAUAUCUUCCCAAGAUGACCAGAAAUGGCUUCAUGACCUAAGGGUGGACAGCAGUGUUCUAUUGUACCCACAUCAUCAUCGUCUCACACGGAAGAGAUGAGGCCUGUCAUCAAUCCAUCAGAUUACUCUUUUGAUAGUGCAAAUUGGAAUUACAGAAAGGUUUCUUUUUGGAGAAGGGCCGAACGAAACAAAUACGCAGAAUGUAGGUAGG